GUAUUCGAUUUUUCCGGCGAAUUUUAUAUAUUCCGAGGGUCAUUGGUUUUGAUUGCUUUAGUUUUGCUCUUGCAUUGAAUCUUGAACGAGCUGAGAAUUGAGGGAAAAUAUUGAAAACUGGAUAGAGAUCGGAACGAUGAUGGAAAACAAAAGGAGCCCUUGCUCUGUUGAUCAUACCAGUUUCACUUCUUUGGCAUCGAAACGACAGAAGUCCGACUUAUCGAUCCCCACCAAGAUACAGCUUCUGUUCUCUUGGAAGCAAUGGAAUACAUACGGUUUCUUCACGAACAAGUUAAGGUUUUGAGUGCUCCGUAUCUUCAAACCGGGCCGAUAAA